rfam:Gossypium arboreum cultivar AKA8401 contig_97462_3, whole genome shotgun sequence.
UUGUUGUCUGGAGAAGCGUCCUCAGCGGCGGACCGGGCCCAAGUCCCCUGGAAAGGGGCGCCGGAGAGGGUGAGAGCCCCGUCGUGCCCGGACCCUGUCGCACCAUGAGGUGCUGUCUACGAGUCGGGUUGUUUGGGAAUGCAGCCCUAAUCGGGCGGUAAAUUCCGUCCAAGGCUAAAUACGGGCGAGAGACCGAUAGCGAACAAGUACCGCGAGGGAAAGAUGAAAAGGACUUUGAAAAGAGAGUCAAAGAGUGCUUGAAAUUGUCGGGAGGGAAGCGGAUGGGGGCCGGCGAUGCGCCCCGGUCGGAUGUGGACCGGCUCUCGCCGUUCCACAUCCGACCGGGGCGCAUCGCCGGCCCCCAUCCGCUUCCCUCCCGACAAUUUCAAGCACUCUUUGACUCUCUUUUCAAAGUCCUUUUCAUCUUUCCCUCGCGGUACUUGUUCGCUAUCGGUCUCUCGCCCGUAUUUAGCCUUGGACGGAAUUUACCGCCCGAUUAGGGCUGCAUUCCCAAACAACCCGACUCGUAGACAGCACCUCAUGGUGCGACAGGGUCCGGGCACGACGGGGCUCUCACCCUCUCCGGCGCCCCAUUCCAGGGGACUUGGGC